GUACUUGUACUUUGAUGGCGACCGGCGAACGGGUGCGUAACGCGUAUGCAACUUACCUUUUACUAGAGAAUAGCCAAGAGAAAUUUUGAUUAAUGCUCUAUACACUUCUUAACUCAUAUGAGUUUUUAAGAAAAGCUCCGGCGGUAAAAGAUGGGCAUGCGUCCUAUUAGCUUGUAGGUGAGGUAACGGCUCACCUAAGCUCCGAUAGGUAGGGGUCCUGAGAGGGAGAUCCCCCACACUGGUACUGAGACACGGACCAGACUUCUACGGAAGGCAGCAGUAAGGAAUAUUGGACAAUGGAGGAAACUCUGAUCCAGCGAUGCCGCGUGAAGGAAGACGGCCCUAUGGGUUGUAAACUUCUUUUGUACAGGAAGAAACCUUUCCACGUGUGGAAAGCUGACGGUACUGUAAGAAUAAGGAUCGGCUAACUCCGUGCCAGCAGCCGCGGUAAUACGGAGGAUCCAAGCGUUAUCCGGAAUUAUUGGGUUUAAAGGGUCCGCAGGCUGUUUGUUAAGUCAGAGGUGAAAUCCUACCGCUCAACGGUAGAACUGCCUUUGAUACUGGCAAACUUGAGUUAUUGUGAAGUAGUUAGAAUGUGUAGUGUAGCGGUGAAAUGCAUAGAUAUUACACAGAAUACCAAUUGCGAAGGCAGAUUACUAACAAUUAACUGACGCUGAGGGACGAAAGCGUGGGUAGCGAACAGGAUUAGAUACCCUGGUAGUCCACGCCGUAAACGAUGGUCACUAGCUGUUCGAUGUACAUUGGUACAUUGAGUGGCUAAGCGAAAGUGAUAA
rnacentral:rRNA from 1 species